UACGGGGGGGGCAAGCGUUGUUCGGAAUUACUGGGCGUAAAGGGCUCGUAGGCGGCCAACUAAGUCCGACGUGAAAUCCCCCGGCUUAACCUGGGAACUGCGUCUGAUACUGGAAGGCUUGAGGAUGGGAGAGGGAUGUAGAAUUCCAGGUGUAGCGGUGAAAUGCGUAGAUAUCUGGAGGAAUACCGGUGGCGAAGGCGGCAUCCUGGACCAUUACUGACGCUGAGGCGCGAAAGCUAGGGGAGCAAACGGG
rnacentral:rRNA from 1 species